rnacentral:rRNA from 2 species
UUUGGAUUAGAAGGAUCGAUUUCUAUUUUCUUUCUAAGUUUUCGAAUAUGUACCAUAACGGUAUUGUCAUCUUCUAUAUAAUUAUCGUCCCACACAUUUCGAAAGAGCUGCGUUUUUGUAAAUACUUGCCCUGGGUUUGAAGUAAAGAAUUUUAAUAGUUCCAGUUCUUUUCCGGUUAAGUUGAUUUCCUCUUUAUUUGUAUGAACUGUAUAUGUAUUUAAAUUGAUAGUGAGUCCUUUAAAAGCUAAAGUUGUUUUUUCUUGAACGGUAUUGUUACUUCCAAGAACUAAAAAACGCCGCAUAAGAGCUUUUACUCGUGCAACCACUUCGUGAAUGCUGAAAGGUUUCGUAAUGUAAUCAUCAGCGCCAAUGCUUAAACCUAAAAUUUUAUCAACUUCGUGAUCUUUAGCGGUCAGCAUUAAUAUCGGUACGUUAGUUUUAUCUCUAAGCUUUCUACAUACUUCAAUACCAUCUACUUUUGGCAUCAUAAUAUCUAAUAUAACGAGGUUAUAAUUGUUUUGAUUAAAUAACUGCAAGGCUUCAUCGCCGUUAAUCGCAGUAUCUACCAUAUAUAAUUCUCGUUCUAAAUAUAUUUUUAAUAAAUUUCGAAUUUCUUUAUCAUCGUCUGCUAUAAGAAUACGUAUAUCUUUCAUAUUAUCACCCGUUUCUAAUAGAGUUUUAUUGGUAGUACAACAUGAUAAGCAAAGAGGUACAUUAGGGAAUACAAUAACUCUCUAAUUAUAUACUAGUAUUUGUUAAAAUAAGGUUGCUAGUUUCUUUAGGGAAAACAUUCUUAUAAAUUAAGUAAGGUUUGACGAAUGAAGUAUUUAAUUGAACAUGUUUCGGAGGAUAGAUUUAGUAAAGGGAAGGAGAAGAGAGUUUCUCGUUAAUGAAACUAUUGUAAGGGCUUAUAUAGCCUAAAGGGUAUGAACAUAUUUAAAUUAAAUUUCUUUGUAAAAAGGUGUUGACGAUUAGAGUAUAGGGGUGUAAUAUAGAACAAGUCGCCGAUGCAAUAACGCAGAAAACGACAAACGAAAUAAAAAACUUAGUUGACAUCAAUUAACGAAAAUGUUAACAUAAGGAAGUCGCAAAUGAGCGACCAAGUAGUUCUUUGAAAACUGAACGAAACAAACAACGUGAAACGUCAAUUUUUAUUUUUAGAU